rnacentral:rRNA from 3 species
CCCAGACAGCCAGGAUGUUGGCUUAGAAGCAGCCAUCAUUUAAAGAAAGCGUAAUAGCUCACUGGUCGAGUCGGCCUGCGCGGAAGAUGUAACGGGGCUAAACCAUGCACCGAAGCUGCGGCAGCGAACGUAUCACCCAAGACAACUUUACGGAGUUGACGAUUGACGGAGCGAAGCGACGUCAAAGCGUUCAUUAAAGUCGAGUUGGCUUAGGGAUACGUUCGUUGGGUAGGGGAGCGUUCUGUAAGCCUGUGAAGGUGUGUCGUGAGGCAUGCUGGAGGUAUCAGAAGUGCGAAUGCUGACAUAAGUAACGAUAAAGCGGGUGAAAAGCCCGCUCGCCGGAAGACCAAGGGUUCCUGUCCAACGUUAAUCGGGGCAGGGUGAGUCGACCCCUAAGGCGAGGCCGAAAGGCGUAGUCGAUGGGAAACGGGUUAAUAUUCCCGUACUUGGUGUUACUGCGAAGGGGGGACGGAGAAGGCUAUGUUGGCCGGGCGACGGUUGUCCCGGUUUAAGCGUGUAGGUGUGUGUUCCAGGUAAAUCCGGUUCACUUUAACACUGAGGCGUGACGACGAGGCACUACGGUGCUGAAGCAACAAAUGCCCUGCUUCCAGGAAAAGCCUCUAAGCAUCAGGUAACAUCAAAUCGUACCCCAAACCGACACAGGUGGUCAGGUAGAGAAUACCAAGGCGCUUGAGAGAACUCGGGUGAAGGAACUAGGCAAAAUGGUGCCGUAACUUCGGGAGAAGGCACGCUGACACGUAGGUGA